UACGGAGGGUGCAAGCGUUAUCCGGAUUCACUGGGUUUAAAGGGUGCGUAGGAGGGCAGGUAAGUCAGUGGUGAAAUCUCCGAGCUUAACUUGGAAACUGCCGUUGAUACUAUCUGUCUUGAAUAUUGUGGAGGUGAGCGGAAUAUGUCAUGUAGCGGUGAAAUGCUUAGAUAUGACAUAGAACACCAACUGCGAAGGCAGCUCGCUACACAAAUAUUGACUCUGAGGCACGAAAGCGUGGGGAUCAAACAGG
rnacentral:rRNA from 1 species